rnacentral:rRNA from 1 species
UACGUAGGGUGCAAGCGUUGUCCGGAAUUAUUGGGCGUAAAGAGCUCGUAGGCGGUUUGUCGCGUCUGCUGUGAAAACUCAGGGCUUAACUCUGAGCUUGCAGUGGGUACGGGCAGACUAGAGUGCGGUAGGGGAGACUGGAAUUCCUGGUGUAGCGGUGAAAUGCGCAGAUAUCAGGAGGAACACCGGUGGCGAAGGCGGGGUCUCUGGGGCCGUAACUGACGCUGGAGGAGCGAAAAGCAUGGGGAGCGAACAGG